rnacentral:rRNA from 1 species
AGAGUUUGAUCCUGGCUCAGGACGAACGCUGGCGGCGUGCUUAACACAUGCAAGUCGAACGGAAAGGCCCUUCGGGGUACUCGAGUGGCGAACGGGUGAGUAACACGUGGGUGAUCUGCCCUGCACUUUGGGAUAAGCCUGGGAAACUGGGUCUAAUACCGAAUAUGACCAUGCGCCUCCUGGUGUGUGGUGGAAAGCUUUUGCGGUGUGGGAUGGGCCCGCGGCCUAUCAGCUUGUUGGUGGGGUAAUGGCCUACCAAGGCGACGACGGGUAGCCGGCCUGAGAGGGUGACCGGCCAUACUGGGACUGAGAUACGGCCCAGACUCCUACGGGAGGCAGCAGUGGGGAAUAUUGCACAAUGGGCGCAAGCCUGAUGCAGCGACGCCGCGUGAGGGAUGACGGCCUUCGGGUUGUAAACCUCUUUCAGCACAGACGAAGCGCAAGUGACGGUAUGUGCAGAAGAAGGACCGGCCAACUACGUGCCAGCAGCCGCGGUAAUACGUAGGGUCCGAGCGUUGUCCGGAAUUACUGGGCGUAAAGAGCUCGUAGGUGGUUUGUCGCGUUGUUCGUGAAAACUCACAGCUUAACUGUGGGCGUGCGGGCGAUACGGGCAGACUUGAGUACUGCAGGGGAGACUGGAAUUCCUGGUGUAGCGGUGGAAUGCGCAGAUAUCAGGAGGAACACCGGUGGCGAAGGCGGGUCUCUGGGCAGUAACUGACGCUGAGGAGCGAAAGCGUGGGGAGCGAACAGGAUUAGAUACCCUGGUAGUCC